AGAGUUUGAUCCUGGCUCAGGACGAACGCUGGCGGCGUGCCUAAUACAUGCAAGUCGAACGCUUCUUUUUCCACCGGAGCUUGCUCCACCGGAAAAAGAAGAGUGGCGAACGGGUGAGUAACACGUGGGUAACCUGCCCAUCAGAAGGGGAUAACACUUGGAAACAGGUGCUAAUACCGUAUAACAAUCGAAACCGCAUGGUUUUGAUUUGAAAGGCGCUUUCGGGUGUCGCUGAUGGAUGGACCCGCGGUGCAUUAGCUAGUUGGUGAGGUAACGGCUCACCAAGGCGACGAUGCAUAGCCGACCUGAGAGGGUGAUCGGCCACAUUGGGACUGAGACACGGCCCAAACUCCUACGGGAGGCAGCAGUAGGGAAUCUUCGGCAAUGGACGAAAGUCUGACCGAGCAACGCCGCGUGAGUGAAGAAGGUUUUCGGAUCGUAAAACUCUGUUGUUAGAGAAGAACAAGGAUGAGAGUAACUGUUCAUCCCUUGACGGUAUCUAACCAGAAAGCCACGGCUAACUACGUGCCAGCAGCCGCGGUAAUACGUAGGUGGCAAGCGUUGUCCGGAUUUAUUGGGCGUAAAGCGAGCGCAGGCGGUUUCUUAAGUCUGAUGUGAAAGCCCCCGGCUCAACCGGGGAGGGUCAUUGGAAACUGGGAGACUUGAGUGCAGAAGAGGAGAGUGGAAUUCCAUGUGUAGCGGUGAAAUGCGUAGAUAUAUGGAGGAACACCAGUGGCGAAGGCGGCUCUCUGGUCUGUAACUGACGCUGAGGCUCGAAAGCGUGGGGAGCAAACAGGAUUAGAUACCCUGGUAGUCCACGCCGUAAACGAUGAGUGCUAAGUGUUGGAGGGUUUCCGCCCUUCAGUGCUGCAGCUAACGCAUUAAGCACUCCGCCUGGGGAGUACGACCGCAAGGUUGAAACUCAAAGGAAUUGACGGGGGCCCGCACAAGCGGUGGAGCAUGUGGUUUAAUUCGAAGCAACGCGAAGAACCUUACCAGGUCUUGACAUCCUUUGACCACUCUAGAGAUAGAGCUUCCCCUUCGGGGGCAAAGUGACAGGUGGUGCAUGGUUGUCGUCAGCUCGUGUCGUGAGAUGUUGGGUUAAGUCCCGCAACGAGCGCAACCCUUAUUGUUAGUUGCCAUCAUUUAGUUGGGCACUCUAGCAAGACUGCCGGUGACAAACCGGAGGAAGGUGGGGAUGACGUCAAAUCAUCAUGCCCCUUAUGACCUGGGCUACACACGUGCUACAAUGGGAAGUACAACGAGUCGCAAAGUCGCGAGGCUAAGCUAAUCUCUUAAAGCUUCUCUCAGUUCGGAUUGUAGGCUGCAACUCGCCUACAUGAAGCCGGAAUCGCUAGUAAUCGCGGAUCAGCACGCCGCGGUGAAUACGUUCCCGGGCCUUGUACACACCGCCCGUCACACCACGAGAGUUUGUAACACCCGAAGUCGGUGAGGUAACCUUUUGGAGCCAGCCGCCUAAGGUGGGAUAGAUGAUUGGGGUGAAGUCGUAACAAGGUAGCCGUAUCGGAAGGUGCGGCUGGAUCACCU
rnacentral:rRNA from 1 species